UACGUAGGGUGCGAGCGUUGUCCGGAAUUAUUGGGCGUAAAGAGCUCGUAGGCGGUGUGUCACGUCAAUCGUGAAAACUUGGGGCUUAACUCUGAGCUUGCGGUCGAUACGGGCAUCACUGGAGUUCGGCAGGGGAGACUGGAAUUCCUGGUGUAGCAGUGAAAUGCGCAGAUAUCAGGAGGAACACCGGUGGCGAAGGCGGGUCUCUGGGCCGAUACUGACGCUGAGACGCGAAAGCGUGGGGAGCGAACAGG
rnacentral:rRNA from 1 species